GACGAACGCUGGCGGCGUGCUUAACACAUGCAAGUCGAACGGUAAGUCCCUGCUUUUGUGUGGUGCUCGAGUGGCGAACGGGUGAGUAACACGUGAGUAACCUGCCCUUUACUUUGGGAUAACUUCAGGAAACUGGGGCUAAUACCGGAUAUGAUCUCCUGCUGCAUGUUGUGGGUUGGAAAGUUUCGGCGUUUGGGGAUGUACUCGCUGGUUAUCUGCUUGUUGGUGGGGUAGUUGCUUACCAAGGCUUUGACGGGUAGCCGGCAUGAGAGGGUUAACGGGGACAAUGGGACUGAGAUAGGGAGCAGAAGGGAACGGGAGGCAGCAGUGGGGAAUAUUGCAAAAUGGGCGGAAGCGUGAUGAAGAAACGCGGGGAGCGGGAAGACGGGCUUCGGGUUGUAAACAGCUUUGGCAUGUGACGAAGCGUGAGUGACGGUAAUGGGUAAAGAAGCACCGGCUAACUACGUG
rnacentral:rRNA from 1 species